AGCCGGGUCCUGCGCAACAAAGGAUCACGAACUCCGCCAGGUCCGGGAGGAAGCAACGGUAGUGAACCCCUUUGUGUGAUGCAGGGUGCCCGGCUAUC
rfam:Desulfofustis glycolicus DSM 9705 genome assembly, contig: EJ46DRAFT_scaffold00040.40